AGGAGCAGCAGUAAGAAAUGAGAAAUGCACUCAGACAUCGGAGGGGACAUAAUUCUCUUUUAGACAGUGUGACCUGGAGUAUUAGGGUCAAAUGAAACACAAGACCAGUCAAACAAUUUAAGGGCUAGAGCCUGGACCAGAUAAAGCAUCAAGACUGGUGGUUCACACUGAGCUUAGGAGGAGGGAGCUUUCCAGCAUGAGAAAUGAGACAUGGCUGGCAGGAUGAUGGAUUGAUUAAGAUAGAAUCCCAAUACCAUGACAGAGGAAAAGAAGAUGAGCCUCUGAACACAACCUUAUCAUUGUGGAAAUCUCCAAGGGAAAGGAUCCUGGAAUAAGCAGAGCGGGCAUUACCAAAAGGAGAUAGACUGCAUGUAAAACACACUUCGAAGGAAAUCUAAUUAAAAGGCAAGGAAUAAUCCAGGUGAUGGAUGAAUCUUCUGUCCCCAGAACCCUAAAUAUUACCCUCUUUAAGUGUUUCUUUUUUAUUCCAAAGUCAAAUAUCCUCAAAGGAACAGCAAAAAGAGGGACUUUAGGAUAUCUUCAAUGGUGUAAAGAAAAGAAAUAUAUGAAAGUUCCCGGGAGAAAGAGACUAAAAUAAAAGCACUGGGCACAUGGAUUACAUAAAACAGAAAAGGGGUUGUAAGUAUGUGAUUAUGACUAGAAACACAAAACAAUCGACUUCAUUUUUUAUUUAAUUUUAAUCACAAAUUAUUAACCUUGCAAAGUUUUAAACAUUAAA
rnacentral:antisense_RNA from 1 species